AGUAUUAGUUAUGCUCUUUUAAACCCAAAGAAUUUGGCGGUAUUUUAGGUCUAUUUAGAGGAAUUUGUUCCGUAAUCGAUAGUCCCCGUUUUAUCUUACUUAAAUUUGUAUUAUGAAAAGGUUAUUCAGUUUGUAUACCGCCGUUAUAAGUUUAUUUUUUUAGAAUGAGAAUUUACUUUAAAUUUAUUAUAUUUUAUUUCAGGUCAAGGUGCAGCUUAUAUUUAAAGUGUAGAAUGAAUUACAUUAUUAUUUUGAAUAUAUGAAUUUAAUGUUGUAAUAGACUUUAUUGAAGGUGGAUUUAAUAGUAAUUUUUUUAAUAUUAUUAUUUUGAUUUUAGCUCUAAAAUAAGUACACAUCGCCCGAUCGCUCU
rnacentral:rRNA from 1 species